rnacentral:rRNA from 1 species
GACGAGGGGUCCUAGCGUUGUUCGGAAUCAUUGGGCGUAAAGCGCGCGUAGGUGGCUUCGUAAGUCCGUUGUGAAAGUCAAAGGCUCAACCUUUGAAUGCCGAUGGAUACUGCGGAGCUAGAGUACGGAAGAGGCGAGUGGAAUUCCUGGUGUAGCGGUGGAAUGCGCAGAUAUCAGGAGGAACACCAAUAGCGAAGGCAGCUCGCUGGGACGUUACUGACACUAAGGCGCGAAAGCGUGGGGAGCGAACAGG